UUUAAGCUCUAACUAAAAUCAAUUAGUUCUAGAAUUCCUAAUACUCUUAUUAAUUCUAAAAAUGUUAAUCAAGAUUAAUAUUCUAAUUAACCUAAUUAAUCCUAACUAAACUAAAACCCUAAUUAAAAUAACAUUCUAACUAAUUAACCAAAAAGAAAGGAAAAACUGGAAAUGGGUCUGAAUUGGAGGUGCGCUCUCAGGCCCAACCGAAGGGUGUGUGAACAAUCCUGGCACAGACGCCCAUUGGGUCACCAACUCGUGGGGCAAGGGAUGGAAGAGGGGGUGUAGGCAGAAGAUUCCUUUGGGUCUGAAUCUUUAAUUGAAACCAGAACUGACCCAAAUCAACACCUAAUGUGACGCUGCAAACGAGCAUCUUCCUCCAUCGCUCGAAAGCGCGUUUACGCCGCCUCGGUUCAAAAUCUCAGAGCUUAUCCGUGAAUGAACAUGAACGUUCUUCACCAUACUGCCAAGAUUAUCCAUCCUUCUCCAUCUAUGCUCACCGAUUCUUACCUUUACAUUUCGAAAACAUCAGAAUCCAAAUCUUUUUUUACGCUCCAUUGUUAUUGCUCAAAUUUUCUUGUGCGCUUGUUGAUGAAGAAGGCUGCGUUAAUGACGAACGAUGGUGUUGCAAUGAUGAUGACGAAGAAAAGGCUUCUUUCUGCAAGCGACGACGCAUCUUUCUGGACGUUCAUGGCUUCCUCUUCUUUGAAAUAUGAAUCCUCAAGACCGCGAUUUCUCAUUAUUCAUUAACGGCUAGAGCUCAACAUAAACUAUCCAAUUCACAGCUUGCACGCACAGAAACAAUGAAGAACAGAAUCGAAGUCAAGAAUACUCACCAGAUUUAGAAUUCGGAUUAAAACCAGGUUUGAAGCGCUUUUUUUCUCCCCACUGAUUUCACUCCCUUCUUCUUCUUUGCUCUGAUAUGAUUUCUUCUCCUUCUAUUCACGAUCUCUGCUACGUUGAACCGAGAGUGAGAUUUACAGAACGAGGAUGAAGAUCUCUGAAGUGCAGAAGUGUAGUGUGAAGUAGAGUGAGGCUUCCGAUUCAGCCCCCUCAUAACAGAGAUAAUGAAAUGUUAUAUAGAGCAUGGGAAUCGUAACUGAAUCGGACACUAAACUUCGGGAAGGUCGUUACAAGCUGUUGGCAUGAGCCGGCAACCAGAUUUUAGGAACUAUAAUAGGAAUAUAUUUAUUAAUUGUCGAUUAUCAUGAUUUGGUUAUAAUUAUUCUAAUUUAGUUAUAAUUAGAAAUAGAUUUUCUGUGUAUAUAAAUAUAAUUUAUUCUCUCCUUAUAAUAUCCUUAUAAUAUACGAUUGAAAUAA
rnacentral:lncRNA from 1 species